rnacentral:rRNA from 1 species
UAAAGAAUUUCGGUAUGGGAUGGGGAUGCGUUCCAUUAGUUAGUUGGCGGGGUAACGGCCCACCAAGACAACGAUGGAUAGGGGUUCUGAGAGGAAGGUCCCCCACAUUGGAACUGAGACACGGUCCAAACUCCUACGGGAGGCAGCAGUGAGGAAUAUUGGUCAAUGGACGAGAGUCUGAACCAGCCAAGUAGCGUGAAGGAUGACUGCCCUAUGGGUUGUAAACUUCUUUUAUAUGGGAAUAAAACGUUCCACGUGUGGAAUUUUGUAUGUACCAUAUGAAUAAGGAUCGGCUAACUCCGUGCCAGCAGCCGCGGUAAUACGGAGGAUCCGAGCGUUAUCCGGAUUUAUUGGGUUUAAAGGGAGCGUAGGUGGAUUGUUAAGUCAGUUGUGAAAGUUUGCGGCUCAACCGUAAAAUUGCAGUUGAAACUGGCAGUCUUGAGUACAGUAGAGGUGGGCGGAAUUCGUGGUGUAGCGGUGAAAUGCUUAGAUAUCACGAAGAACUCCGAUUGCGAAGGCAGCUCACUGGACUGCAACUGACACUGAGGCUCGAAAGUGUGGGUAUCAAACAGGAUUAGAUACCCUGGUAGUCCACACAGUAAACGAUGAAUACUCGCUGUUUGCGAUAUACAGCAAGCGGC